CCAGAAAACUAACGGGAUAUUAACGCCGAAAUAAUCAUAUGGACAAUACACUAGUAUAUAUAUAAUUUAUAUACAUAUACUAUUACAUAUGUAUCUAUGUACAAAAUGUACAUGUUUGAAAAGAAUGUGUGUACAAAUAAAUUUGUUUUUUUGUUCGAGUUAUAGCGCUUUUUUAUUGUUCGAGUUACAAAGAAGUCAAUAGGGGAAAAAAUGUGUUCGAGUUAGCACGUCGUUCGACUUAGCGGCUAUUCGAGUUACCGCGAGUGCACUGUACUUUUGGUUGCAAUCUAAAAGCGCGUAUGGUGUUAGUGGUAAUGCUUAAGAACCUUUUUUUUAAUUUUUUUUUUAUUGUAUGUACCAAAUUUUUAUAACAAUUUUUUUAUGCUAAAAUCUCUAAUUAAAAUUUUAUGUGUCAGUUUCAGUGAUAAAUCGCUUUGGCGCUAUUAUUUUAAAUUUUGUACCGAUUAGAAUAAGUUAUUUUAAUUCUUUCUUUCUUUGGACUACUUUCUAUUUUUCAUACACUUGUUACGUAUGCAUAUAUGUAUACCAGAGGCCUUGAAUUCUACCAAAAAUGGCGCAAUUAGAAAAUGCAAGACAAUUCAUGCUUAACAUCUACGAUAUUAAUGGAUUAAAAACAAUUUAUAUGAUGAGAAAAGGAUUCUGAUCUAUGUGUCAUGAUUCACAUAAACCGCAACACAACUAUCUAAAUAGGUCCUACUGACUAUUACGACUAACUACACUAAAAUCUGUGAAGUUUAUUCAAUAAAAUCUAAUGAAAACUUUUCUUUAACAGCGCAAAUAAAGUGCUCAACCCUAUAGUUCACUGCACGUCAUCUUAAAGAACGCUAUGGAUCUUUUGAAAGGAGCAGAGAUAAUUAUGUGUAUACACACCCGAUAUCUGGCCAUACUUAACUCCAAGGAUGAUUGAAAAUAAGGUUUGGCCAUUCGAAGCAAAAUUGUGAGAGUAACUUCGGCUGCCACGUCAUCGGAGAUUCAGCCUGCUCAUUUCACACGUCCGACGACACCGAAAUGACAUGAGCGGAGGGUGCUUCAAUUUUUUGUCGUUACUUAUAUGUUAGUUACGGCAGCCGCCGUAGCCGAAUGGGUUGAUGCGUGACUGAAUCCAGAGAGAACGUAACUUAAAAUCUCGAUGAAAAACCAAAACAAAGAAAAAGUUUUUUCUAGUAGCGGUCGCCCCUCAGCAGGCACUGGCAAACCUUCGAGUGUAUUUCUGCUAUGAAAUACAUAUGUGGCGUUCGGAAUCGGCUUGAAACUGUAGGUUCCUCCAUUUUUUGGAACAACAUCAACACGUACACCACAAAUAGGAGGAGGAGUUCGGUCAAACACCCAAACGAAUGUACGCGCCAAACUUAUAUACAUAUAUACGUUAGCUAAUCAGCUGGCUCCUACAAAACCGCUGAGAGCCGGUUAACGGUCUGAUGGUAACCACGCCUCUGGGGUCUGUACAUCGCGAUGCAAUCCUAUAGCACGACGCCAUUUUAAAAAACGCUAUGGUUGUGUUGAAAGCAACAAAGAUACACACCCGAUAUCUGGCUAUACUUAACUCUAAGGAUGAUCGAAAAUAAGGUUUGGCCAUUCGAAGCAAAAUUGUGAGAGUAACUUCGGCUGCCACGCCAUGACAUGAGUGCGGCCAAACACCCAAACGAAUGUACGCGCCAAACUUAUAUACAUAUACAUAUACGUUAGCUAAUCAGCUUGCUCCUACAAAACCGCUGAGAGCCGGUUAACGGUCUGAUGCUAACCACACCUCUGGGGUCUGUACAUCGCGGUGCAAUCCUAUAGCACGACACCAUUUUAAAAAACGCUAUGAUUGUGUUGAAAGCAACAAAGAUUACCUCUAUAUAUGAUUGUCUGGAUCCGGUACCUGAUAAUACAUUGUGGGCCCGUUCUCCAACAAAUUAAGACUGCGCAUGACGUCACAUCUUUUGAUGAAUAUAAGAUGACCGCUCUGCUGGAUGCGAAAUCCUCAGUUAUGUGAACGUCAAAUAUUAUUAUUUAUUUAUUUGAAUACUAUGUAAUAAAAUAAAAAUUAAAAAAAAAUUGGA